rnacentral:tRNA from 1 species
GGAGAGGUCGGAUAGUGGUUGAUUCCAGUGGUCUUGAAAACCGCCAGGCCCGAAAGGGUCUCGAGGGUUCGAAUCCCUCCCUCUCCGCCA